rnacentral:sRNA from 1 species
ACAGUAUCACUGCCGAAGACAGCAGGUGCCGCAAGGCAUAACGUAAACUACCUGCCGAGGAUGAUGAUUAGUCAAAAGCUAAUUGUGCCCUUUGUCUUUGCGGACAAAGGGCUUUUCUUAUAUU